UUGAAUAAAAGGGUUCGAUCUGUUUGGAUGUUUUACUAAAAAAGAUUUAAUAUGAUGGACAAGGAGGAGAAAGCCAAGGUGAUAGUUAAUGGUGAGAGAGUGGCAUAUAAAAAAUGGUAGAUUCAAGAAUGAAUAUGGGAUAAAAGAUUGCUCGGUACAAAAGAUUCAUAUUACCGAGUGGUGUAUACAAGAUUCAAUUAUGGUAUGCUCGGUAUAAAAAAUGGUAGAUUGAACCAAGAAUGAUUAUUCCUUUAUUUUGAAAUUGUCAUAUUGAAACUGCCAAAAGAGCGGCCUUGGCACAACUAUAAGAUUGCUUCAUUGUGACCUAAGUAUCACAGGUUCAAAACACAAAAACAAUCUUUGUGUCGAGUAAGGUUGUAAACAUCUAACCCUUCCAUUACCCCAAAAUGACGGGAGUCUCAUCC
rnacentral:lncRNA from 1 species